rnacentral:rRNA from 1 species
UACGAAGGGGGCUAGCGUUGCUCGGAAUCACUGGGCGUAAAGCGCACGUAGGCGGAUCUUUAAGUCAGGGGUGAAAUCCUGGAGCUCAACUCCAGAACUGCCUUUGAUACUGGGGAUCUCGAGUCCGGAAGAGGUGAGUGGAACUCCGAGUGUAGAGGUGAAAUUCGUAGAUAUUCGGAAGAACACCAGUGGCGAAGGCGGCUCACUGGUCCGGUACUGACGCUGAGGAGCGAAAAGCGUGGGGAGCAAACAGG